rnacentral:rRNA from 1 species
UGAGGAUAUUGGUCAAUGGCCGGAAGGCUGAACCAGCCAAGCCGCGUGAAGGACGAAGGUGCCAAGCAUUGUAAACUUCUUUUGUCAAGGGACAAAAUCAGGCUCGAGAGCCUGACCGAGGGUACUUGAAGAAAAAGCAUCGGCUAACUCCGUGCC